CUACUUUAACAGAGCGUCGCAAUGACUCUCGGCAACGGAUAUCUCGGCUCUCGCAUCGAUGAAGAACGUAGCGAAAUGCGAUACUUGGUGUGAAUUGCAGAAUCCCGUGAACCAUCGAGUCUUUGAACGCAAGUUGCGCCCGAAGCCUUUCGGCCGA
rnacentral:rRNA from 1 species